rnacentral:tRNA from 1 species
CUCCCAUCAAAGACACUGAUGGCUCUGAGGGAGAAGAUGACGAGCAUACGCCCCAUGGACUGGAACUAGAGCUGGC